AAAAAUAAAAAGGGAUGAAAGAACCGCACUCACAGAGCAGCGCGACAACCGCAAGUGGUUAAACAAUUUGACCAGCAAGCAACCAUUGUGGCAAUUGCAAGUGUGGAUAUCGACGAAGGUUGCGAACAGCCUUGAUACGCAUCAUAUAUCUUGGGAAAGAAAAUUGAAAGUAAGGAUUAACCGACUAAUCAAAUUCACAAGGCCUACAUGUAAUAAACACAUAAGAAUAAAAGACUAACGCCUGGCUUCACCAAACAUUGCUUAACUUUAAUCUGACAAUUAGUUUAAUUCAUAUUUGUCUCUUUCUAAAGUAACAGUUGAAAAGAGACAAAGAACAAAUUCAGCUAAGCUUAAUGUUAAAGCAUUGCUUAACUUUAAUCUUAGUUUAAUUCAUAUUUGUCCCUUUCUAAGGGACAAAGAACACUUGGAAAGAGACAAAGAACGAAUUAAGCUAAGCUUAAAGUUAAGCAAUAGUGGUACAACCAGACCUUAGUCCUUUGUUCCUUUGUGUUUAAAAGUAAAGGCGUCAGAAAAAUAUAAAGAUACACAUCCAUAAUUGACAUA